ACGCAGAAACGGCGUUCCGGGUGACUCGAAAUGGCUUCAAGAGUGGGAAAGUCUGAAAACGGCGGCUUGUCGUUCCCAUGUAGACAAGCAACCUGCUUUCUUCGGAAAACGAUGACCUCGCCGUCAUGUGACCAGAAAUGAGUUUGACGACAAGCCAACAUAACACCUGAAAAUCUGGACUGGCAUCACUCAGCCCAGUCGACAUUCUCCUGUUUGGUGUGUCACGUGGUCUGCUCACAGCGCCACACGUAGGUGUGCCUUGUGAAUCACAUCCUUUUCACCCAGUGAUUCGUUCCCAUCUGGAUGCAGAUUUACUGAUCCGUCACUGUGGGAGCUCCCGUACGCCCCCAUGAUGCCCCUGGUGAUACCCCACUCAUGUCCCCCAGAUUUGCCAAUUAUGCCCCCUAGAGAAAUCUCCUAUACCACGCUUCUCUGAUGCCCCCUUGAUCCCGUCCUGGUAACCCUCUAAUGCCCGCUUACUCCCACUGGAUCACUCUCUGAUGCCCCCUUGAUACCCCCUUUUGCCCCCCCGAUAGCUCUCGAUAAAUGCACCCACCAUCCAUCCUCCUCCUGUCAUAAAACACCACACACAAUGUGAGCCGUGCGCCCGCCCGCUAUCAAGAUGUACAAACCGCAGCGCGGGGAACCAUGUGGGGGUGGACCACCCAUGAGCCUGACGAGGCCGCUCCACCAUUGUCCUCCCCCACCUCAUUCACUGUAAGAAUCCAGCAGCCAUGCAGCUGGAAGGAGCAGCACAGUGCGGGAGCAUGGGAGCAUGGGUGCAUGGGAACAUGGGAGCAUGAGAACAUGGGAACA